GUUUCCAUGGUGUAAUGGUUAGCAUGUUGGUCUUUGAUUCCAGUGUUCCUAGUUUGAAUCUUGGUGGGACCU